rnacentral:SRP_RNA from 1 species
GCUGGGCGUGGGGACGCACGCGCGCCUGUAGUCCCAGCUACUUGGGCCGCUGAGGGUGCAGAAUCACUUGAGCAAUUCUGCACUAAGUUUGUGUCCGCACUAAGUUUGGCAUCAAUAUGGUGACUUCCCGGGAGCGGGGGGCCACCAGGUUGCCUAAGGAGGGGUGAACCGGCCCAGGUCAGAAAUGGAGCAGGUCAGAACUGUGUGCCUGGAAGAUAACAUCAUUCCUCCUAGAAUGUUCCUUCUGCUGCUGGUUCCCAAGGUACUCUGCAUCCGU